rnacentral:rRNA from 1 species
CGAGCGAAGCGGGAAAAGCUCAAAUUUGUAAUCUGGCGCCUUCGGCGUCCGAGUUGUAAUCUCGAGAAGUGUUUUCCGUGAUAGACUGCAUACAAGUCCCUUGGAACAGGGCGUCAUAGUGGUGAGAACCCAGUACACGAUGCAGAUGCCUAUUACUUUGUGAUACACUUUCGAAGAGUCGAGUUGUUUGGGAAUGCAGCUCAAAUUGGGUGGUAAAUUCCAUCUAAAGCUAAAUAUUGGCGAGAGACCGAUAGCGAACAAGUACCGUGAGGGAAAGAUGAAAAGCACUUUGGAAAGAGAGUUAACAGUACGUGAAAUUGUUGGAAGGGAAACACAUGCAGUGAUACUUGCUAUUCGGGGCAACUCGAUUGGCAGGCCCGCAUCAGUUUUUCGGGGCGGAAAAUCGUAGAAAGAAGGUAGCAGUUUCGGCUGUGUUAUAGCUCUUUACUGGAUUCGCCCUGGGGGACUGAGGAACGCAGCGUGCUUUUUGCAUGAGCUUCGGCUUAUCCACGCUUAGG